rnacentral:rRNA from 1 species
AUUGAACGCUGGCGGAAUGCUUUACACAUGCAAGUCGAACGGCAGCACGGACUUCGGUCUGGUGGCGAGUGGCGAACGGGUGAGUAAUGCAUCGGAACGUGCCCAAUCGUGGGGGAUAACGUAGCGAAAGUUACGCUAAUACCCCAUACGAUCUAAGGAUGAAAGCGGGGGAUCGCAAGACCUCGCGCGAAUGGAGCGGCCGAUGUUAGAUUAGGUAGUUGGUGGGGUAAAGGCUCACCAAGCCGACGAUCUAUAGCUGGUCUGAGAGGAUGAUCAGCCAACCUGGGACUGAGACACGGCCCAGACUCCUACGGGAGGCAGCAGUGGGGAAUUUUGGACAAUGGGCGCAAGCCUGAUCCAGCCAUUCCGCGUGCAGGAUGAAGGCCCUCGGGUUGUAAACUGCUUUUGUACAGAACGAAAAGCUCUGGGUUAAUACCCUGGGGUCAUGACGGUACUGUAAGAAUAAGCACCGGCUAACUACGUGCCAGCAGCCGCGGUAAGAC